AGAUUCCUCAACUCGAAAUACGGGAUCCUUGAGUCCCACGAAGAUGUUUCUGAAGCAAGUUAAAACCUCGGCAACGAGAAAAACAAAACGGAUUGUCAAUCGAGAUGGCCAAUAAACACAGUCGCAAGUGGUUGUAAGGUGCAGUUGUAUGUCCACUUUUCAACUAGUAUUAGUUUUAAUCUCGGUUCAACUUCCUUCGCUCUCUUCUUCUCGUUUUAAACGUAAGAACAACCGAGAUUAAAGUUAAUUUACGUUGAUGGAAAUGGAUAUGUUGUAUGUAUGUAACUGCGCCUCAAUAGUUUACAAUAGAGUAUCUCUAGUACUCUAGUACCUCUAGAGUACUCUAGUUUACAACCGAUUACAGAGCCACGUUUGCGCUAUCGUAGAAGCCGUAGAAGCAGGGGCCUUAUUUCACGCGUCAUGGCACCCCUGCCGCUUGAACGUAUGCACCAAAUGUCGAUUAGCGCCAACUUCGCUCGAGUCGUCGUCCUGCGUCCUGCUCCCCCCUCCUCUUCCACCCUCCUUCUAUCGUCAUGUGUGGUGAUAGCAUCGUACGCGAAACCACGAUUUAGAAAAAGGCUCGUUAACUCGCGCCACAGCUUCUUCAGUGACUUCAGUGCGUUCACUGCCGGCUGUUUAAUGCGCUUGAAGUCAAUUAAAACUUAGAUCGGCUAGUUGUUUGCUAAUGUGUACUCGGAGACUUAUCCUCCACGAAGAUAAAAUCUUCCAAGUUUUUCAACAUGGAGAAACGUAAAUACACGCAUCGCGUGCAAUUUUCUAACAAAACCCGAGGGAAUUUGACUUGGAGAAAGCUCUCCAUAUCGUGAAGCAACAUGCAUGCAUUCCCAGGAGCAGAAGCGCCGCUUAAUCAGAUCUGAUUCGAUGAUCGGCGGAAGGCGAGUCUUCCGCUUUCCGAUAGCGCAUGUAGCGCAUGGUGUGCUAAUAUUGACACACACGUGCGAGUUUAUAUUCGCGACGCAUGAAUGGGUAGGGCGCAAACGCAAGCACGCACACAUAUACGUGGAUACAGCAACGGGGGAGGCAGAUCCGAGGUUGCGCCAGGGGAGCGGCCGGUUCGUAGCAGCGGUGGAGGAGCAGGAGGAGGUAGCGACGACGGCGGCGGCGGCGGCUGCCGCGGCAGACGGUUUCAUCGAUUGGCAUUGCCGGCAUCGUCCGAAGAAGAGUGUGAGCGGGGUCCGUGAACUCCGCGCCGACGGCGUAUCCCGCUUUUCAUGGUCAUGGAUAAGAGGGCGGUUUCUCCCUCGAUGGAAGGCCGAGAGUCGCGUUCUUCGACGCGCGACUUAUGAUCAGGGAUCAGGACUGCCGUAACAUCAUUGAUAUCUUAUUCUCAUUACUUCCUUUCUCCUCUGGAGUCUCACAUUCAAAUUGAAUGAAAUGUUUUAGCGUUCUAGUCGGAAAGGCAUAUUCAAUAUGGAUUUGAAUUUCAAAGCUGUGCUGGAAUGAUGUUCCAUUCACGGUUCUGAUGUUACAAAUACACUUUCUAUCUGUUUAAUUAUAAACGAACACGAAACUAGCUGAAGGAGAAAUAAGGCCGCCGUCAUCCGUGCGCGAAUCCUAUAACUCUUAGGAAAACGAAGGUAUUGUCCGGCUGACGUGGCAAGAUACAAGAGAACAUUCUGGGUUUACGUUCGCCUAGUAACACCACUGUUCGCGAGGCAGGAACGGUCUCGCGACUUAGGAGACGUUAAUCGCGAGCGAACCGAGCCGGGUAAACGCAAUUGCGGGCAUGGAAGCGCACGAUUCACGACGGCGGACUUGCACUUAUACAAAAGUCUCCUCGUUCGCCUUGAAACGAGAAUACACGCUCAUGAUAAAAUGCAAAUGCAACGCCCGACAACGAUUCUUCCUUAGGAAAUUACGAAACGCAAGGAAAUCAUCACAAUCGAUGCACAACGACAAAUAAAGAAAAUUAUUCUAAUUAAAAGAAUCAGUGCUGAACCUGCGAUACAUAAUUAUGGAAAAUAAGCAGUGGACCAAUAACGAAGACGACAACAACGACGACAAGAGGAAGACACAUAUGCGUGCUCCGCGUGCGUUGUAUGCAUCUGUCAAAACCACGCCCUUAUCCCCAUCCUGCUGCCUCGCGCUAUUCCUAUGUAUACGAAGGAAGAGUAAGGAAGUUCGCCGACAGGCUUUCCACGAUUGAAAUAAUCUGCCUCGCUUCGGAAGAGCGAUUAAAUUUAAUUAUUAUUCAGCAGUUCACGUCUAAUUAGACAUUAAAAGUCAAAUUAUAUUUUAAAAGCAAUCUCUUAGAGCAAAUAGAAAUGCAUAGCAAAAUGCAAAAAAAUAUGAUUAGCAAAAAAAUUAUAUAUAAUGGUAAAAGUAUGAUUAAAAAAUGAUGAGAUGUGUCAUAUAUAAUAAUUACGUGAAACAAACGGAAAGCGUCGAAUAAGUUUUUGUGAGCUGUUACAUCUAAUUUCGCGUUUGUACAAAUUCACACAUUCGGAAAGUAUCGUUAGAACUCAUCUUGAUCGCUCCUUCGGAGCGUUUCAAAUUGCUUCGAUUGCUAGAAAACAUGAAUUCGCGCGAUACAACCCACUCGUUAAUUCGGGCUCAUUAAUCGCGUUCGUUCUUAUCGAUUCUCAUGCAUAUGCAUAAUUACAGUGAGAUACGAUACAGUACGUAUGAGGUAUCACCAGUAACACGCACAUCCAAAAAUAUCCUUGUUGGUGAGCGAUAAAAGGUCUAAUUCACCCACGCUUUAAUAAUAGGUAAUUUACGCCUCGGUAAUCUUAGGGAAAUGCACGGUAAUGGAUAUCGCAUGUGAUAACGAUACUUAGCAGUUACGAUGGAAUAAUCAUUAUUAAAACGGUAAAUCAUUCAUUCCCGUUUCGUCUGAUUCUCCAUCACAUUCCACGAAGAACGUCAUUAAUGCGCAAUACCACCGCACAAUUAUGGAGAUGAAGGAAUAAAAAAAUACAUCGUUAGAAAAGGAGAACCUAGAAAAAGAGAAAAACCGUCUUUCGACCACACCCCGGGUCCAUUUUCGAUCGCGUCGAAAGACCGAUCGAUAUCUCGGUGCAGACCCAACUCGUGGAAACACGUAAUUUCGGAGCAAGUAAUUUAUACGUUACAGAAAAGGUAUCCUACAAUAUUUCUUUUAUUGCUAUAGAAAUAGAGAUCACAUAUGUUUAUAUAUAAAGCGAUAAUCAAAUUCGAUUUCCCACAUUAGGCUUUUGCCUGGAGCUCAUGCCAAAAUGUAGCGCGUUUGAUUGUCACGAAUAAAUAUGAACGUAUGACUUUGCCGCGUGUUUAUAUCGAAGAAUAAACUCCGUAUAAUUGUAACGAACUUUAUAGGCACUGUUACGAAGGACAUACCGAAUUACCGAGAUAAGUCAAAGCUAUCAUAAUCGCUAUCGAGCGAGAAACGCCGGGAAAUCGUGAUAACGCCUACUUAUAAGCAGAGACUCUACUUAUAAGGCGGUUGUUCCAUCGACUUACGAGAUCGAAACUUUCUUUCCAGGUCACUACCAUCCUCAGAGAAAAAUCACUCGUUAGUUUCGCCAAUUCCAGGAUUCUCAGCUGAGAUAUUUUGCAAGGGAAGAAUUGAUCGCCGAACAUUUCGUCUUACGCGAAGGAAAGCACUAUUGUACACAGGGUAUCAUGACUCCCCGACGCUCGACCGUAAAUUCUCACGCCAAUCUGAAGUCUACCCUUUCUCACUUCCGUAAAUUAAUAUACGAAAAAAAGGGCAGAAGCUGAUGAAAGGAAGAAGGCGCUCGUUAUCACUUUCCAGGAAUCUUUUUAAAGACUCUGGGCGAGCAACUUCUAAAAGUACACAAGAAUCCGGGAGACAUUCGAAGUGUCUUUGAAAAAUAUUCGCUAGGCAUUUACGAUUUGAGCCGAUUCGUUCUAAGGGCUCGCUUUUAAUCCGCCAUUGAAUGCACAUCGCUGUAGAAAAACGACAGUGUAACUCACGGCGA
rnacentral:lncRNA from 13 species